GACGAACGCUGGCAGCGUGCUUAACACAUGCAAGUCGAACGGAAAGGCCCUGCUUUUGUGGGGUGCUCGAGUGGCGAACGGGUGAGUAACACGUGAGUAACCUGCCCUUGACUUUGGGAUAACUUCAGGAAACUGGGGCUAAUACCGGAUAGGAGCUCCUGCUGCAUGGUGGGGGUUGGAAAGUUUCGGCGGUUGGGGAUGGACUCGCGGCUUAUCAGCUUGUUGGUGGGGUAGUGGCUUACCAAGGCUUUGACGGGUAGCCGGCCUGAGAGGGUGACCGGCCACAUUGGGACUGAGAUACGGCCCAGACUCCUACGGGAGGCAGCAGUGGGGAAUAUUGCACAAUGGGCGGAAGCCUGAUGCAGCAACGCCGCGUGCGGGAUGACGGCCUUCGGGUUGUAAACCGCUUUCGCCUGUGACGAAGUGUGAGUGACGGUAAUGGGUAAAGAAGCACCGGCUAACUACGUG
rnacentral:rRNA from 1 species